rnacentral:rRNA from 1 species
CCUACGGUGGAGCUGCAGUGGGGAAUAUUGGACAAUGGGCGAAAGCCUGAUCCAGCCAUGCCGCGUGUGUGAAGAAGGCCUUCGGGUUGUAAAGCACUUUCAGUGGGGAAGAAAGCCUUGGGGCUAAUACCCUCGAGGAAGGACAUCACCCACAGAAGAAGCACCGGCUAACUCCGUGCCAGCAGCCGCGGUAAUACGGAGGGUGCGAGCGUUAAUCGGAAUUACUGGGCGUAAAGCGCGCGUAGGCGGUCUGAUAAGCCGGUUGUGAAAGCCCCGGGCUCAACCUGGGAACGGCAUCCGGAACUGUCAGGCUAGAGUGCAGGAGAGGAAGGUAGAAUUCCCGGUGUAGCGGUGAAAUGCGUAGAGAUCGGGAGGAAUACCAGUGGCGAAGGCGGCCUUCUGGACUGACACUGACGCUGAGGUGCGAAAGCGUGGGUAGCAAACAGGAUUAGAUACCCGAGUAGUC